rnacentral:rRNA from 1 species
ACGAACGCUGGCGGCGUGCUUAACACAUGCAAGUCGCACGGAAAGGCCCUGCUUUUGUGGGGUGCUCGAGUGGCGAACGGGUGAGUAACACGUGAGUAACCUGCCCUUGACUUUGGGAUAACUUCAGGAAACUGGGGCUAAUACCGGAUAGGAGCUCCUGCUGCAUGGUGGGGGUUGGAAAGUUUCGGCGGUUGGGGAUGGACUCGCGGCUUAUCAGCUUGUUGGUGGGGUAGUGGCUUACCAAGGCUUUGACGGGUAGCCGGCCUGAGAGGGUGACCGGCCACAUUGGGACUGAGAUACGGCCCAGACUCCUACGGGAGGCAGCAGUGGGGAAUAUUGCACAAUGGGCGGAAGCCUGAUGCAGCAACGCCGCGUGCGGGAUGACGGCCUUCGGGUUGUAAACCGCUUUCGCCUGUGACGAAGCGUGAGUGGCGGUAAUGGGUAAAGAAGCACCGGCUAACUACGUG